UACGAUGGAGGGCUAGCGUUGCUCGGAAUCACUGGGCGUAAAGGGUGCGUAGGCGGGUUUUUAAGUCAGGGGUGAAAUCCUGGAGCUCAACUCCAGAACUGCCUUUGAUACUGAAAAUCUUGAGUCCGGGAGAGGUGAGUGGAACUGCGAGUGUAGAGGUGAAAUUCGUAGAUAUUCGCAAGAACACCAGUGGCGAAGGCGGCUCACUGGCCCGGUACUGACGCUGAGGCACGAAAGCGUGGGGAGCAAACAGG
rnacentral:rRNA from 1 species